UGGCCUCCCAGAGGGCUGGGAUUACAGGCGUGGGCCACCGUGCCCGGCCAAUGAACUCAGUUCUUUUAGGUUUUUAUGGAAGCACUUUGUAGACGUGAUUGAUUAAAUCAUAGGCCAUUGGUUUAUCAACCCACCCUUCAGCCCGUCUCUCUUCAGAGGUAGGUGGGAGCAUGGCACUGAAAGUUUCAAGCCUCUAAUCACAUGGUUGGUUCCCCUGGCAACCCACACCCAUGGGAGGCUUUCUGGGGGAUCACAAACCAUAAGUCAUCUUAGUAGCAUGCAAAAGACACUGUUGUCUUUCUGGAAAUUCCAAGGAUUUUUAGAACUAUAUGUCAGUAAACAGGAUGUAGACAAAAUGCAUACUUCACACUAUCAUAGGCAUGGUGACUGUAGACCAAAUAGAUACUUCCCAGUAUCAUAGGUAUGGUGAAUCCUGCACCGUAGACCAAGUACACACUUCACAGUAUCAUAGGCAUGGUGAAUCCUGCACCGUAGACCAAAUACACACUUCACAGUAUCAUAGGCAUGGUGAAUCCUGCACCGUAGACCAAAUACACACUUCACAGUAUCAUAGGCAUGGGGACUCAUGCACCGUAGACCAAAUACACACUUCACAGUAUCAUAGGCAUGGUGAAUCCUGCACCGUAGACCAAAUACACACUUCACAGUAUCAUAGGCAUGGGGACUCAUGCACUGUAGACCAAAUACACACUUCACAAUAUCAUAGGCACGGUGACUCAUGCACUCCUCUUAAAGGCAUCCAUGCUGAAUUGGGGCAUGUGACCUUCCUGAGAUUUCAUGGCUAAGCCAAACUAUCAAGGAGACAGUGUAGGGGGCAGGGGAAAACUUUCCCCUUUCACUAUGAAUGUUUGCUGAAAAUUAAUUGACCAAAGACAAACAGGAACAAAGGCAUAGAAAAAGUUUAACAUUCAAAGCACAGCAGAAUCGCAGGAGAAUAAUUACCCAGUAACUCAAUGGGAUGCGGAUGCUUAUAUACCCUUCUUUGUUGGAGGAAAGGGAGAUGGGGAGGCGUGGAUGAUUUUAGAGGGAUAGUAAAUGAUUUUUUGGUGGAUUCAUUGGACUUGGAGUACAUACAGUGGCUUGGGACAAAGUCUGUUGAAAAAGAGACAGUGGUUUGUGACUGAAGUCCGUCCAGGUGUGUUGACAGACUUGUCUGUCUUCCUGCAGUAUGAACUAAAUUAAUUAAAACACAGGGACUUUAGGCAGAUAAAUGAGUGUUAGAAUAAAGCUUCUUCCAGUGUGUGCUCGUCUCCAAGGGCCUUUAAUUUAAAAUAAUGGGCAUACCGGGGUGCCAUAUUUUAGGGUAGAAUUCUCUGGUCUCCUUCAGUGGGAGAGUGUAUGCCCAGAAAAAUGAGGAUUGGUGUAUUCAUGAGCAGUAUCAGAAUCACAGCCACCCAUAGAAUCUACAUUUGGUUAGAACAGUGGGCUCAAAAUUGUAGUUCAUCUCUUAUUAGCUGUGAUAUGAGUAACGUUAGUUCCAGUAGAUUUACAUUUCCUUGUUUAUAAAAUGCUAAAAAUGUUUGGAGGACAAAAUGAAACGUUUGAAAGCACCCCACCUCCUAAAAGUUAUCAAUAUGAAAGCAUUGCAAAGUUAUUAAUUAACAAGAAGUUUGGUUUAAUGUAUUGGCUGAGAAUUUGAUGAGUUGCUUGAAUUAGUGAGUCAAUAAAGCCAAAAAUAUUGUCAAUUAUUUUUAUGUAGGAAUAAGCAGUGUCACAAAAAAUUAGUCUGUUCAAUCUGAUUAUAUUAUUCUUUAAAACAGUAUAGAUUCAGUAUUGUUUAAAAUUUCAUUUUAAAAUCUAAUUUAGCCCAAGUAAUGAAAACUGACUAUGUCUAAAUAGUGGCUUCACUACUUACAGGGAAAGAGUGUAAAGUCCCUUAAUGAGAAAAUCCAUCUCCGUAGCAUAGUACCCACAUUCUCCUGGGUAGAUGAAUGUAUACUAAAUGCCCGACUCGAUUAAAAUCAUCAUGGCACCCUUA